GCCCGUACGUUGGCGCGCGCGCGCGCGCAUAACAUCAACAGUACAAUAUUUUAAAAACAAUCACGGACGCCAAGAAAUUGCGCCACACGCGAGCACGGGCAUGCGCGCCAACCUCACCGAUAGUGGCGUCGGUCGACUAGGUCGACGAUAGUCGGCCGGAUAAUAAUAAUAAUAAUGAUAUUAUUAUCAUUAUAUUUUUUUAAUUUUUAAUUUUUUUUACCACAUGGUAAACAUGAUACCCGGCGGUAAUCGUGUCGAUAAUAACGACUUCGACACUCAUCAUGAUAAUAUGUAUUAAUGUAUUAUUUUAAUUCACUAUGAAACAUUAAAAAUAUAAAAUAGUAAUCGUUGUCGGCGAUUAUGAAGGAACCGCGACCGUACACCGAAAGAUCACGCCGACCGGAAAUAUAAUAUAUCCGUCGUGCACGAGAAUCGAUGACAACCGUGUUUGCCGUACCGAAAUCAUAUUGUUAUAACUUAUUAUGAUAUAAACAAUAAUGUUAAUAAAAUAGUUUUGGAAUAAAAAUUUAGAUAGGAAGAACCGUA